GUAGGUGAACCUGCGGAGGGAUCAUUACCGAGUUCAUGCCCUUACGGGUAGAUCUCCCACCCUGUGUUAUUAUUACCUUUGUUGCUUUGGCGGGCCGUCAGAUUUCGGUCAGGCUAUCGGCUCCAGCUGAUAAGCGCCCGCCAGAGGACCCCAAACUCCUGAAUAUUAGUGUUGUCUGAGUACUAUAUAAUAGUUAAAACUUUCAACAACGGAUCUCUUGGUUCUG
rnacentral:misc_RNA from 1 species